rnacentral:rRNA from 1 species
AUGGAAUUUCUCCAAGCACCUGACAUAUGGGAUCGUAUCCUUUCCUUGCUGCCCCUGCGGGAUGCUGCUCGAGCUGGUUGUGUAUCUCGCGCGUUGUUAAGUUCCUGGACACGCCGUCCCAACCUCACCUUCACAGAGGAAACACUCGGCCUGGCUGGAAAUGCAUGUCGAAAACCUGAACUUGCACGAACUUUCCAAAACAGAGUUUACCGCGUUUUGAAAAAACACUCGGGCGUUGGUGUGAAGGCAUUCAAGCUUCAUCACUGUGGUUCUGGUUUCAACAUUCAUGAUCUGAACAGGUGGCUUCAGAUUGCCGUUACUCCGGGGAUUGAAGAAGUCGUACUUUCAGUACCAAUGCACCGGAGAAAGUACAAAUACGGGCCUCACUACGGGUACGAAUGGGUGUCUUACAACUUCCCCUGCUCAGUUUUUUCCAACGGGAGUGGAAACUCGAUUCGACAUCUUCACCUCGCCAGUUGUGCCUUCCACCCUGUUGCCGGACUUGCUCACUUGACAAGGCUGCAUCUGUUUAAGGUGGACAUUACAGGAGAUGAGUUAGGGUGCUUCCUUUCUAAUUCUUUUGCUAUGGAGGAGCUGAAUCUCACUAAAUGCGGUAACGUCAUUCACCUGAAGAUACCUUGCCUGCUACACAGGCUCAACUGCCUGGCGGUGCUGCAGUGCGUAGCUCUAAAAGUGAUAGAAAAUAAAGCUCCAAAUCUUUGGAUUGUUCGCAUCGAUAGCCAACCAGAGAAAGUUCCAGUUGGAGAUGUACUGCAAGUGAAGGACCUCCAAAUGCAGGAUUGUUACGAAUCUAACCUUGUUCAUUAUGCUCGUGCCAAGCUUCCAUCCAUUAUGCCAAAUCUUGAAACCCUCAGCCUAGAAUCGACCGGGGAGGUGUUCAAUACGCCAAUCUUGCCUGUCAAAUUCCUCUACCUCAAGAACUUGCGUAUUUUUCUUCAUGAUCGAGGGAUGAAGGGCUUUUCCCCAGGCUACGAUUAUUUUUCUCUCGUUUCUUUUCUGGAUGCUUGUCCUGUCUUGGAGAAUUUUGUCUUGGCUGUAUUACAGGCUAGCGUAAGGCAGGAAUUGAUUUCCGGAGACCCGCAUCUGAGGCAGAUGCCUGAACACCAGCAUGGCAACAUCAAGAAUGUGACGAUCAAGGGCUUCUGCGCUGCAAAGAGCAUGGUCGAGCUAACCUGUCAUAUUCUUGAGAAUGCAACAUCACUCGAGUGCCUUACGUUGGACACCAUAUGUGAUAAUGGCUCUGAAGACCUUGAUAGGACUUUUGACGACGGAAUUGCUAGAUGCUACACAGUGUUAAACUAG